rnacentral:rRNA from 1 species
CCCUUAGACGUUCUGGGCCGCACGCGCGCUACACUGACGAAGGCAACGAGCUUUCCUUUACCGAAAGGUACGGGUAAUCUUUUGAAACUUCGUCGUGCUGGGGAUAGAUCCUUGCAAUUUUUGAUCUUAAACGAGGAAUGCCUAGUAAGCGCAAGUCAUCAACUUGCGUUGAUUACGUCCCUGCCCUUUGUACACACCGCCCGUCGCUACUACCGAUUGAAUGGUUUAGUGAGGCCUUCGGAUCCGCGACUCAUUUGUGGAGAAGUUGGACAAACUCAGUCAUUUAGAGGAAGUAAAAGUCGUAACA